AUUGAACGCUGGCGGCAGGCCUAAUACAUGCAAGUCGAGCGGAGUGGCGGACGGGCGAGUAAUGCCUAGGAAUAUGCCUGGUAUAGGGGGAUAACGUCAGGAAACGGGCGCUAAUAUCGCACACUAUCAGAUGAGCCUAGGACGGAUUAGCUAGUUGGUGGGGUAAAGGCCUACCAAGGCGACGAUCCGAAACUGGUCUGAGAGGCUGAUCAGUCACACUGGAACUGAGACACGGUCCAGACUCCUACGGGAGGCAGCAGUGGGGAAUAUUGGGCAAUGGGCGAAAGCCUGAUGCAGCCAUGCCGCGUGUGUGAAGAAGGUCUUCGGAUUGUAAAGCUCUUUAAGUUGGGAGGCGUUACCAACAGAGUAAGCACCGGCUAACUUCGUGCCAGCAGCCGCGGUAAUUC
rnacentral:rRNA from 1 species